rnacentral:rRNA from 1 species
ACACGUAGGGCGCAAGCGUUGUCCGGAUUUAUUGGGCGUAAAGGGCUCGUAGGCGGUUUCGUAAGUCGGGUGUGAAAACUCAGGGCUCAACCCUGAGACGCCACUCGAUACUGCGAUGACUUGAGUCCGGUAGGGGAGCAGGGAAUUCCUGGUGUAGCGGUGAAAUGCGCAGAUAUCAGGAGGAACACCAUUAGCGAAGGCGCUGCUCUGGGCCGGUACUGACGCUGAGGAGCGAAAGCAUGGGGAGCAAACAGGAUUAGAAACCCUAGUAGUCC